rnacentral:misc_RNA from 1 species
GGAAGGAUCAUUAACACGUACCCACACGUACAAACUCCACUCUUGGGCGCACUAAAUUGAAAACCCCAAUCUUAAUGGAUUGUAGGUAGAUUUUACCAUCUACCCACAGCACAUUCUGAUUGCAUUUUAUAACUAAUAACCCAACAUUCUCAAUUGGACUAACAAACAUGUGCAUAACCAUUCGAGAGUGGCCUCACGGCUGCUCGAGAAAGGAUAUCUCAAAAAACUAAAACGAUGAACAACUUUUAGCAACGGAUAUCUUGGUUCUCGCAACGAUGAAGAACGCAGCGAAAUGCGAUACGUAAUGUGAAUUGCAGAAUUCAGUGAAUCAUCGAAUCUUUGAACGCAAAUUGCGCUUCUGGGAUAUGCCCGGGAGCAUGCCUCUUUGAGUAUCGGUUACCCCCUAUCAUAUACAACAUUGUUGAUGCAAAUCGGCGAUGCUUGUGUCGUGAUGAGCAUGAGCGUUCACAGAGUGUACCAACACUUUGCGUCGCUUCAAACACAUGGACUGCAACUAAUGGAAUCCGCACGCUUGCUGCGUUUCCGAGUGCAGACAGAAAAGAUAGGUCACCUCGUGUGAUUCUCUUUACUGUUCUCGUCACUCGGCCAGACGCCUUGUUCGCAAGGCAACAAGUGUGCGUGUGUUUCGCCGCAGUCAGUACCGCCUUUGCAAGUGAGCAUCUAUUCACGUAGGUGUUGCUGAGCGAGGCAACGUUGUACUGGCCGUCAGUGUGCAAACAUUGACUCCAACUACGAUAACCAACAAAUCUGAUCUCAAAUGAGGUAAGAGGACCCCCUGAACUUAAGCAUAUUAAUAAGGGGAGGAAAAGAAACUAACAAGGAUUCCCCUAGUAACGGCGAGUGAAGCGGGAAAAGCUCAAGCUGAAAAUCGGUCGCCUUCGGCGUUCGAAUUGUAGUCUAGAGAGGCGCCAUCAGCGCGUGGCCCGGACCUAAGUCCUUUGGAACAAGGCGUCAUAGAGGGUGAGAACCCCGUCUUUGGUUCGGAGACCGCCGCGUACGAUACGCUUUCUGCGAGUCGGGUUGCUUGGGAUUGCAGCCCUAAUUGGAUGGUAAAUUUCAUCUAAAGCUAAAUACAGGCGAGAGACCGAUAGCGAACAAGUACCGUGAGGGAAAGAUGAAAAGAACUUUGAAAAGAGAGUUAAAAAGUGCUUGAAAUUGCUAAAAGGGAAGCGAUGGAAAUCAGUCGUGUGCGACUGAGGCAUUUCCUGGCGGCAGCGGAGUUGGCGGCCGAGCGACCGAAAGGCGCCCGACUGCCAACGAGCACUGCCACCAGUCCCUGCCUCGGCGCGAGUGUCAGGAUCAGUUCGGGGCGCAGCAGAACCGCCACAGGAAGGUAAGACGAAUCGGCUUCGUGCUGUGAAGUCUCCUUAUAGCCUGUGGAUGUGAGCUAGCGCCGCGGACUGAGGCCACUCAAUGUGGGCAACGCGCGCCUUCUUGGCGUAGCGGCUCGUCCCUGGGGCGUUAAUCGGUGCGCAUAUGCAAUGCAUUGCCGCUGACGAAGCGUCUUACUGGACGGGUGCGGCUAUCUGCGCGUUCGCGAUCCUGACGAAAUGGUUUUCACCGACCCGUCUUGAAACACGGACCAAGGAGUCUAACAUAUAUGCGAGUAUUUGGGUGUCAAACCCUGAUGCGCAAUGAAAGUGAAGGCAGGCGAUCUCGUCUGCUGAGGUGUGAUCCCCGCAAGGGGUGCAACAUCGACCGAUCAGUCACUUGUGAAAGAUUUGAGUAAGAGCAUAUCUGUCGGGACCCGAAAGAUGGUGAACUAUGCCUGGACAGGGCGAAGCCAGGGGAAACUCUGGUGGAGGCUCGUAGCGAUACUGACGUGCAAAUCGUUCGUCUGAUCUGGGUAUAGGGGCGAAAGACUAAUCGAACCAUCUAGUAGCUGGUUCCCUC